UUCCAUGUUAGGAAUAUUGUAGAACGCACGCUAGCGAGUCUCGUCUUGGAAACGACAUCAUGAAGUCGUAUAUAGCUAGCUUAGCACAGGAAUAUUCAGGUUGCAUUUCUAAAACAAGGUACAGUUGGAAUAGAACCAUUGGAGAUACGAGUAAUUAGUGGCGUUCGCAUUCUAAAAGUCUUAGCUUAUUUGCUUCCGCUGUGCAAUGAAGAUACCAGUCCAGUCACGCCAAUGCUCUGAUAUUUCAGGGUGUGACAACGUUAUCUAGAUCACUUGAACAAGGUAAUCAAAACAAAGUUAUAUUACAAGUAUUGUCCGUAACCCCAUGAAAGAACGUCGGAUCAUCCCAAAACUUUACGUGUUGUUGGUCGUUUCGGGUCACGGGCCAAUUUGAUCGGGUCAAAACGUUGACUGUGCUCGGGUCGGGACCGCCCGUCCAUGUGGUUCAACCAUAACCGUAUCAAACGAGGUCGGAAUGGCACGAAACUUCAUGUGAGCCAUCGGGACAACUUGACGGUGGUCUUGGGAAAGGAUAAUAUGGAUUCGGGCCCACGGGCCUGCGGGCCCGGUACGUCCGUUUUCUCGGGAUUCUUCGUAACACCACCAAACGACGUCGGAUCGCCACGAAAGCUGACACGAUUGUUCACGGGGGUUCUUAUGGUGGUAUCGGGUCACGGCUUCACGUCUCGGGUCAACGUGUUGACUGGGCCAUGUUCGGGCCCGAUUGUGUGGUUGGGCCUUGGAUCGGGCCCGUUAUACUCGUAUCGAGACCAAACUUUAUACAGGCGUUCUUAUGGUGGUAUCGGGUCACGACAUCAUGUUCUCGGGUCAGUUCUUGGUUGGGCCUUGUUCGGGCCUGAUGUGUCGUUGGGCCUGGUUCGGGCUCGUUGUGCUUGGAUCGCCACGAAUAGGUCACGUGGAUGUUC
rnacentral:lncRNA from 1 species